AGAGCGAACGCUGGCGGCAGGCUUAACACAUGCAAGUCGAGCGGGCGUAGCAAUACGUCAGCGGCAGACGGGUGAGUAACGCGUGGGAACAUACCUUUUGGUUCGGAACAACACAGGGAAACUUGUGCUAAUACCGGAUAAGCCCUUACGGGGAAAGAUUUAUCGCCGAAAGAUUGGCCCGCGUCUGAUUAGCUAGUUGGUGAGGUAACGGCUCACCAAGGCGACGAUCAGUAGCUGGUCUGAGAGGAUGAUCAGCCACAUUGGGACUGAGACACGGCCCAAACUCCUACGGGAGGCAGCAGUGGGAUAUUGGACAAUGGGCGCAAGCCUGAUCCAGCCAUGCCGCGUGAGUGAUGAAGGCCCUAGGUUGUAAAGCUCUUUUGUGCGGGAAGAUAAUGACGGUACCGCAAGAAUAAGCCCGGCUAACUUCGUGCCAGCAGCCGC
rnacentral:rRNA from 1 species